UUAAAGGAAUUGACGGGGCCCGCACAAGCAGCGGAGCAUGUGGUUUAAUUCGAAGCAACGCGAAGAACCUUACCUAGACUUGACAUCUCCUGAAUUACCCGUAACUGGGGAAGCUCUUCGGGGCAGGAAGACAGGUGGUGCAUGGUUGUCGUCAGCUCGUGUCGUGAGAUGUUGGGUUAAGUCCCGCAACGAGCGCAACCCUUAUCGUUAGUUGCUACCAUUAGGUUGAGCACUCUAGCGAGACUGCCCGGGUUAACCGGGAGGAAGGUGGGGAUGACGUCAAGUCCUCAUGGCCUUUAUGACCAGGGCUACACACGUACUACAAUGGCCGGUACAAAGGGCAGCGACACAGCGAUGUGAAGCCAAUCCCGAAAAGCCGGUCUCAGUCCGGAUUGGAGUCUGCAACUCGACUCCAUGAAGUUGGAAUCGCUAGUAAUCGCGGAUCAGCACGCCGCGGUGAAUACGUUCCCGGGCCUU
rnacentral:rRNA from 1 species